GGGUGAGUAAUGUAUCGGAACGUGCCCAGUCGUGGGGGAUAACUAUCCGAAAGGAUAGCUAAUACCGCAUACGACCUGAGGGUGAAAGCGGGGGACCUGCAAAGGCCUCGCGCGAUUGGAGCGGCCGAUAUCGGAUUAGCUAGUUGGUGGGGUAAAGGCUCACCAAGGCGACGAUCCGUAGCGGGUCUGAGAGGACGACCCGCCACACUGGAACUGAGACACGGUCCAGACUCCUACGGGAGGCAGCAGUGGGGAAUUUUGGACAAUGGGCGCAAGCCUGAUCCAGCCAUUCCGCGUGAGUGAGGAAGGCCUUCGGGUUGUAAAGCUCUUUCAGCGGGAACGAAACGGUCGAUCCUAAUACGGUCGGCUAAUGACGGUACCUGCAGAAGAAGCACCGGCUAACUACGUGCCAGCAGCCGCGGUAAUACGUAGGGUGCGAGCGUUAAUCGGAAUUACUGGGCGUAAAGCGUGCGCAGGCGGUGACAUAAGACAGAUGUGAAAUCCCCGGGCUCAACCUGGGAACUGCGUUUGUGACUGUGUCGCUCGAGUGUAGCAGAGGGGGGUGGAAUUCCACGUGUAGCAGUGAAAUGCGUAGAGAUGUGGAGGAACACCGAUGGCGAAGGCAGCCCCCUGGGUUAACACUGACGCUCAUGCACGAAAGCGUGGGGAGCAAACAGGAUUAGAUACCCUGGUAGUCCACGCCCUAAACGAUGCCAACUAGGUGUUGGGGAAGGAGACUUCCUUAGUGCCGUAGCUAACGCGUGAAGUUGGCCGCCUGGGGAGUACGGUCGCAAGAUUAAAACUCAAAGGAAUUGACGGGGACCCGCACAAGCGGUGGAUGAUGUGGAUUAAUUCGAUGCAACGCGAAAAA
rnacentral:rRNA from 1 species